rnacentral:rRNA from 1 species
UACGGGGGGGGUAAGCGUUGUUCGGAAUUACUGGGCGUAAAGGGCUCGUAGGCGGCCAACUAAGUCAUACGUGAAAUCCCUCAGCUUAACUGGGGAACUGCGUGUGAUACUGGAUGGCUUGGAUUUGGGAGAGGGAUGCGGAAUUCCAGGUGUAGCGGUGAAAUGCGUAGAUAUCUGGAGGAACACCGGUGGCGAAGGCGGCAUCCUGGACCGGUAUUGACGCUGAGGCGCGAAAGCGUGGGGAGCGAUCCGG